ACUAGAGUACUGGGGGGACUGGGAGGCACUGGGAGGACACUGGGGAGAAUGGGAGCACUGGCUGACAUCCCCUGUCCCCAACCCUGGGGGACCCUGACAUCCCCCAUCCCGGAGGGACCCCGAUGUCCCCUGUCCUGUCCCCCAUCCCAGCGAGGCCCUGAUCCCCAGGGACACGGUGACACGGCACAGCGUUUGGUCUGGUUUAAUGGGAGCCGCCGGUGCAAACGGCAGCGCAAGGUGACCUGGGGGUGUCGGAGCCCAGAGCCGUCCCUGUCCCCAUGCCCAGAGCCAUCGCCAUGCCCAGAGCUGUUCCCCCUCCCGUACCCCAAGCCCAGAGCCAUCCCUUUCCCGGUGUCUGGAGCCGUCCCCAUCCCCAUCCCCAUCCCCAUGCCUGCAGCCAUCCCCAGCCCUGUCCCUAUGCCCGAGCCUGGACAUCGGUGCCUGGCUCCUGGAGCUCAGAGCCAUCGCCACCCUCAUCCCCAUUCCCAUGCCUGUUUUCCAUCCGCAUCCCUAUCCUUGUCCCCAUGCCCAACCUGGUUCCCGGCUCCUGGAGCCAUGCCCAUGCCCAUCCUUGUCCCCAUGACCAUUCCCAUGCCCAUCCUUGUCCCCAUGCCCAUCCCCAUCCUUGUCCCCAUGACCAUUCCCAUGCUCAUCCCCAUCCUUGUCCCCAUGCCCAUCCCCAUCCUUGUCCCCAUGCCCAUCCUUGUCCCCAUGCCCAUCCCCAUCCUUGUCCCCAUGACCAUUCCCAUGCUUAUCCCCAUCCUUGUCCCCAUGCCCAUCCCCAUCCUUGUCCCCAUGCCCAUGCUGAUGCCCAAGCGGAUGCCCGGUGCCCGGAGCGCGCUGCCCGGAGCCGUGCGGACGCCGGACGCCCGUGGCGGCGGCUCUCAGUACUGGACGCAGGCGAGGGUGACGUCGCCGGCGAUCUCCAGCUGGUCGACCUCGCCGGGCGGCAGCCGGUGCGCGUAGUUGAAGACGUGCUGCCCGUUCACCGCCACCCGGUAGCCGUGGCUCAGCGUCCGGAUCUCCAUCUGCGGCGGGCAGAGAGCCGGAGCAGGCGGCGCUCGGCCGGAGCCCCCGG
rnacentral:lncRNA from 1 species